rnacentral:lncRNA from 1 species
GUUUCCUAAGGUAUUCAUUAUUGUCUCUUGUUCCACAGGAGUCUUUUCAAUGAACUAGAGAAAGGAAAGCACAUCUUCCCAUUUAGAAGUCCACGUUCCCACGGGCGGAAUAUUUUACAGGCAAGGACUGGCUAUUUAAAAUCAUG